rnacentral:rRNA from 1 species
AUUGAACGCUGGCGGCAGGCCUAACACAUGCAAGUCGAGCGGAUGAAGGGAGCUUGCUCCUGGAUUCAGCGGCGGACGGGUGAGUAAUGCCUAGGAAUCUGCCUGGUAGUGGGGGAUAACGUCCGGAAACGGGCGCUAAUACCGCAUACGUCCUGAGGUAGAAAGUGGGGGAUCUUCGGACCUCACGCUAUCAGAUGAGCCUAGGUCGGAUUAGCUAGUUGGUGGGGUAAAGGCCUACCAAGGCGACGAUCCGUAACUGGUCGGAAAGGAUGAUCAGUCAGCCUGGAAGUGAGGCGGAUUCGCGACUCUUAGGGGGGGACGCGGUGGGGACUUUUGGGCGAUGGAGGAAUGGAUAAUCUAGCCAAGCGGGGUGAGUGCAGAAGGAUUACGGAUUGUAGAGCGUUUAAGGUUGGGGGGAAGGAAAGUACGUUAAUCCCGUAUUAUUAUGACAUUACCAACAGAAUAAGCGCCGGCUAACUUCGUG